CAUUCCUGUGGCCACAGAAAUCACUACACUUCAAUACAGAAGUGCGUACCUUCUCGUUAUUUUAACGGGCACAGACUGGAAACCACGUCAUUUACGCUGCCUUUUUCUGAUUCGCAGGUUCGUCGUCGGUGGCGGAAAUGUGAACACCGGAAGUGCGUGCGAGUAAGAUUUCUCUCCCGAAGACGUAAAGACUUCAAAACUACAAAUGUUUAAGAAUGAGCCGGCGAAUCUACGGACUGGACGACUUGGGUUCGAUCCCCGACGGGGACAGAGGAUUUUCACGUAUACGUCAAGGUCAUGUCAAGGCGCAGUCUGGAAACUUUCCGAUCGCACCUCGUACUGAGAAGUCGAACCUCACCGCCGUAAACUACAAAUAAAUAUACGUAAGUUUUUCAUACUUCCCUAUAUUGUGACAGCGUCUAGGGGGAGUGGAGGUAGAGAUACACACGUACUUAAUUUUGUUAUCAAAUUGUGAGCGAUUACCUUCAUGGUACAGUCGUGUCAACGAAGAACAUUACUUAGUAUCUGUAGGGGACUAAAUUUGUUUGUGACUCGAUGGUGAGUGGACACGUUCGGACCGUGUUCAGUGUCCUGGGUCUUAAAAGACUGUAAUCCAGCGUCUGUUCCGGGUCUUGACCUGACCUAGGAAGCAGACUGCCGGAUCGCACGUAGUAAAUCUUUGAAACUACGGAUGGACGGACAGACAGGGAGGCACGAGAACCAGAGGCGUUCUAAUCAUUUAUUCAUACAGAUGUUCGGAGUAUAUUACUUUGCAGUUUCACAACGACGUAAACAGACAUCACGGGAGGAACUCAGAGCAGACAGUCUCGCUGUUCAGCUGUGACGAGAUGUGAGUUAAACACAAAGUAAGCAGUGGGACCGGGCAUUAGCAAACAGUUCCCUGAAGAUGGACGUCUUCUAGGAUGUAGCGCCGUGUAGCCUGAUACACGCUGAUAGACGCUGAUAAUGGAGGCAGUGUCUCUAAACCGUUCGUAAACUACCAGACUACAUGGCUCAAAAUGCCAUCUUCAUAUUCGUCGGCGUAAACACCUGUAAUGUUAGCAAUCAGUUUCGUGCUUGUCCUGAAGCAUCAGAGCGCGUCUCUGGGACAGGCAGCCAUGUUUUUGAUUAAAAAUGGUUCCGUCUUUCACAACAGAGCGAAAUCCUUCUCAGCGUACGAAGUUAUAACCACGGAUCUUUAUACAUUUAAUACAGUCUAGUGAU